UACGAAGGGGGCUAGCGUUGCUCGGAAUCACUGGGCGUAAAGCGCACGUAGGCGGACUCUUAAGUCGGUGGUGAAAUCCUGGAGCUCAACUCCAGAACUGCCUUCGAUACUGAGAGUCUUGAGUCCGGGAGAGGUGAGUGGAACUGCGAGUGUAGAGGUGAAAUUUGUAGAUAUUCGCAAGAACACCAGUGGCGAAGGCGGCUCACUGGCCCGGUACUGACGCUGAGGUGCGAAAGCGUGGGGAGCGAACAGG
rnacentral:rRNA from 1 species